UCGAGCGCGAAUGGAGCAAUCCUAGUAGAGCGGCGCACGGGUGCGUAACACGUGGGUAAUCUGCCCGGGUGUCUGGGAUAACCAGUCGAAAGACUGGCUAAUACCGGAUAAGCCCCCGGCCUCUUCGGAGGCUGAGGGAAAAGAUGGCCUCUGUACACAAGCUAUCACACCUGGAUGAGCCCGCGGCCCAUCAGCUAGUUGGCGGGGUAAUGGCCCACCAAGGCAACGACGGGUAGCUGGUCUGAGAGGACGAUCAGCCACACUGGAACUGAGACACGGUCCAGACUCCUACGGGAGGCAGCAGUGGGGAAUUUUGCGCAAUGGGCGAAAGCCUGACGCAGCAACGCCGCGUGUGUGAUGAAGGUCUUCGGAUUGUAAAGCACUUUCGACCGGGACGAAAACCCUCUGGCUAACAUCCAGGGGCUUGACGGUACCGGGAGAAGAAGCACCGGCUAACUCUGUGCCAGCAGCCGCGGUAAUACAGAGGGUGCAAGCGUUGUUCGGAAUUAUUGGGCGUAAAGCGCGUGUAGGCGGCUUUGCAAGUCGGGUGUGAAAGCCCUCAGCUCAACUGAGGAAGUGCGCCCGAAACUGCAGAGCUUGAGUGCCGGAGAGGGUGGCGGAAUUCCCCAAGUAGAGGUGAAAUUCGUAGAUAUGGGGAGGAACACCGGUGGCGAAGGCGGC
rnacentral:rRNA from 1 species